AAUUGUUAGCAUCUGUCUUCCUUUGGAUCAACUGAGGAACUUCGAUGUUCUGGGGUAGUUUCUCUGAGGAAAAAAAAUGUUCCAAACAUUUCUCCAGUGUUUUCUUUAAAAGAACCCAAAGCUUUGCUCUGCACUCAGUGACUUUCUGUGUGAUCUUUGUGGCUGAUUCCCACUUUCUCCAUCACUAUAAGUGAGAGUCUUCUUGCUUUUAGAUAUCAGCUUUUUGUCUGCUGGGGACCUCACUUGAUAAUAAAAGAUGGUAAUGAAGUGCUAUGACCCCAAUAUGUACAGUGGCUCUGUGUGUAUCUUCGGACAGAAGUGGGUGAGGGAGAGGGCAGCCGUAAGUGCCAAGUGUCAGUCUCCCUAACAGACAGCAGAACCACUGUGGGCACACACCUUCAGCACUUCAGUGGGAUUUACCAAGUCUCGGUUAAUAGCAAAACAUAACAGGCUAAAGGAAUAUUAUGGAAGAGGAGCAGAAAAAAUGUCGGAACUGCAUAAAAGGUGAAGGUUUAUUUCCCGGAAAUUAAACAUUCUCUCUCAGGUGUUCCAGGUGCAACUACAUCUUGAAGAGGAACUGCUUUUUUGUUCAUGUGGAGGGAGACACAAGGAAACCUGAAGCUUCAAGAUCAGCCUCCCACCCCAAGGCUUACCCGACAGGGGAGACAGACUCACCUGCUGAAGAUAGAGAAGAUUCCUCUUUGUCUGAGGAUUCAAAGUCUUUACAGGGAUUUUUCUGGAGUCAUGACUCAUGUCUGAGGCUAUGCCCAGGAACUCAUUCUUCUGUAGUUUAUAGCCUCCAGACUUUGAGACAAGACGUCACUUCAGAAAGCAGCUGCUCCAGAAGUCUAUGAGAGCUGUAACACUUCUCAGACAUGAGCACUUGCGCUGUAAGGGACAGCUCUUAAUCGGCAUCCCAGCACUGCCAAGAGCUUUGAGCUGUACCAUGGUUUAGAGCUGUAAUGGCUCUCAGCGAUCAUCUGCUGUUACUGAGAGUUCAAACUGUUCCAUUUAUGUCCCUCGUGGAAAUCUGUCUUAAGUUAUUUUACCUGAAUUGACAAGAAAUUACUUCCUGUUUGCACCUGUCUGCUCACUCCAUUCUUUAACAAAGGUGGGAUAGGAACCUGCUUGGAGACAGGACACAGGACAUGUUUUCCACCCACCUACCAUUUUCAAAGUUACUUUUAUUUCAUUUUCCUCUAGCACAGAGGUUAUAUGAAAACUCAGGGAUUACAUGUUCAAUGCAGAGACUUACUAUGAGGAUAUUUUCUAAGAUGUGCCUGGUAUUAGUUACUGAUUAGGCAACAGGAAGUAGGAGACACACUAAAAUUAAGAUAAUUCUGAAGAGGGUUUAUUUCUAAACAACUAAAACACAAUGUUUGGAACCAUAGAAAAUCUGAUGGCGUAGAAUAGAACUUUCUAAGUUUGUUCCAUCAUUACCUUCUUUAGAUAGAGGUAUCCAGAAGCAGUUGGGUAAAUUCAGCUACUUUGGGUACAUCAAUGACUUUCUUAAAUGCUCUAAUCUUGACAUGGCUUAAAAGGAAAUUAAACAGAGGGCUUAAAGCCUGACCCUGCACAGUAUCUUCCAAGUCAGUGUCCCCAUGUGUGGGAGACUCCUUUGCUGGACAUAGGAGGUACAAAAUGUUUGAUGAUGUAUAGCCGUAGACCAUCCUUUCGGGGGGACAGAGUAGGAUGGCUGAGAGUAGAAAGAGAUCUGAGGUGCAAAUGGAAAUGUGAAGUUGAUUGAUUAUUUUAUACUGUGGAAUCCUAAGUAUAGUUAGUCAUUUAAUUCUUUCCCAACUAAGUUUAUUGUUUAUUUAAACCAUUAAACAUUUAUUAAAACUUUCAAGAUACAAUAAUCCAAUUUCCUAAGAACUCUCCUCACAGGGAAAAAAAGAGCCAUUAGCACACACUCUGUGGAGUUGCUAUAGUAACAAUCUAAUUUAUAAAAAUAAUGAAUAGUUUUUAGUAUCCAGCUCCCAGUACUUGGGAGGUGGAAGCAGGAGCAUCAGGAGUUUCAAGGUCAUUUGCUGCUACAAAGUGAGUCAGAGAAAAGAGAGAAUCAAUCAGGCAAAAUCAAAUAAAACCAACCCAGAAGACUAUCACUAACAACAAAAUAAUACUAAGGCUUUCUUCUGAUGAAUUUUACAUUUAGGAUUAUGUAGCCUGAAUUUGCCAAUUACUUUCGCUAGUUUAAAUUCAAUUGAAGUGUUAAGAUAGUAUGAGUAGGAACACAACAAAGAGCCCUGGUCUGCAUGGAACUCACUAGGUACAAUUGUAGCUAGAGUUUUCCUGCCUGGCCCACACUCAGGACAAAUCUCUGUCACCCGCCAGUCCCACAGCUGCUCAGACCCAACCACGUAAACACAGAGACUUAUAUUGGUUACAAAUUGUAUGGCUGUGGCAGGCUUCUUGCUAACUGUUCUUAUAUCUUAAAUUAAUCCAUUUCUAUAAAUCUAUACCUUGCCAUGUGGCUUGUAGCUUACCAGCAUCUUCACAUGCUGCUUGUCAUGGCGGCGGCUGGCAGUCUCUCCCCCUCUCUGCCUUCCACUUCCCAGAAUUCUCUUCUCUCCUUGUCCCACCUAUACUUCCUGCCUGGCCACUGGCCAGUCAGUGUUUUAUUUAUACAGAAUGAUAUCCACAGCAUAGAAUGGUCUCAAACUCCCAAAUAUCCACCUGCCUUCCACCGCCUCCUGUGGUGACUAAAGGCAAGGUUGUAGUAAAUUUUUUGCAGCACUUGUACCUCUUUACAGAAAACAGCUACUAGAGAACUGAAAAACAGAAUUUCACUUUUAUACUUUAUGUCUAUUUUAUAAUUUUUUUCCCUUUUUUAUUUUUCAAGAUGGGGUUUCUCUGAGUAGCCUUGGCUGUCCUGGAACUCACUCUGUAGAAACAGGCUGGCCUUGAGCUCAAAAUUCACAGAGAUCCACCUGCCUCUGCUUCCCAAGUGCUGGGAUUAAAACAGUAUGCCGUCAUUGCUUGGCUCAACUUUUUUAUUUUUUGUAAUUAUUAUAAUUACAUCAUUUUCCUUUUCCCUUUACUUCCCCAACUGCUUUAAUUUAUCUUCCCCUAUUCUCUCUAUCUCUGACUCCCUCCCUCCCUCCCUUAUCUUUAUCUCUCUCUCUCACACACAAACACACACACAUGUGUACAACACCUGAACAAAUAUAACCUCAAGGCUGACCAUUUGGUAUUGGAUAAUCUAUUUUCUUUUUUAUGUUGUAUUUUUAUUUUAUAAUCUAAUUUAAUUUUACAUAUCAGCCACUGAUUCCCUUGUCCUCCCCCCCGCCAGACUUCCCCCCAGCCCACCCCCUAUUCCCAUCUCCUCCAGGGCAAAGACUCCCCUGGGGAUUGAGUUCAACCUGGUAGAUUCAGUCCAGGCAGGUCCAGUCCCCUCCUCUCAGGCUGAGUUAAGUGUCCCUGCAUAAGCCCCAGGUUCUAAACAGCCAGCUCAUGCACUGAGGACAGACAGGUCCCGGUCCCACUGCCGGUCUCAAACAGUUCAAGCUAAUCAACUGUCUCACUUAUCCAGAGGGCCUGAUCCAGUUGGGGGCUCCUCAGCUAUUGGUUCUGUGUACUAACAUGACUCUGGGUUCAGAGGAGAAACUUAAGUUUCUACAGUAGAUGGAUAAACCAAAAUGCAUUGUCAUUUCUUUUCCCAAUCAUUCUUAUGUUUAUUACUUAUUCUAAAUUAAGUUCACACUUUAGGACUCAAAUUGUCCUAAAGUUUACUGUGUCAUAACAAGGCAUGUGGCCUUGGAAUUGUGGCUCAGUCUCCCAAUGGCUGUGAUUACAGGCAUAAGCCACCAUAACAAGAUUCCACCUUAGAUUUAAUACCAGAAAAGGAAAGAAGUUUGGAGAGUAGCUUACUGUUCACCAACAGGACUGACUGAAACUUCAUUUAAGCUUUGACCAAAUCCAUCCAUGCUGCUUCAUGUCAAAACAAAGUUAAAAAAUAAAAGAAGCAUAGCAAAGACACCAGAAACUGAAAAGUGUAAGGGUAGUUGAAAUAUUUGGUCUUGACAAGUAUAUUGCAAAUGCUUUGAGCAAAAUAAAUACAAAUGGCUCGGGGAGUGAUUUGGAGAAGAUAUUUAUCAAAGUGAAAUGAUUACCUUUGAUGUAAUUCAGUUGUUCAAAGUGUUUAUUAUCCCAAGGGAAGAAUGUAGAGUUCUUUGCAGAAAAGAGGGUUGAAAUACAAGUUUUGAUUAUACUUGCUUGAAGAAAAUAGUGAUUUGUCUGUAAUUGUAUUAGCAGCACAGCAUUUUCAUGGGAAACUCAAAAGAAGAUUAUAUUUGCAUUUCUCAACACUCUUAUUUUGUCUUUCAUGGUUUCUAAGUUUACUCUGUGAAUCUGUACUUACUAAAUGUUGGCUGUAGUAUUAAGCAUACAUGUUAAAUAUAAUACUGGGAAAUAUAAAAUUGUUAUUAAAUUACUACGUUUGAAAAAACUUAAAUGAGAAACAAUGUACUCAAUAGACUAAUAUAGAGAAUGCUUAAAUAAAUAUGUCUAAAUGAUCACUAUAAAACAAUGUCAAUAAAUAAAUAAUAACAACUGCAA